GAUGAAGAACGUAGCGAAAUGCGAUACGUAAUGUGAAUUGCAGAAUUCAGUGAAUCAUCGAGUGUUUGAACGCACAUUGCGCCCCCUGGUAUUCCGGGGGGCAUGCCUGUCCGAGCGUCAUUGCUGCCCUCAAGCACGGCUUGUGUGUUGGGCCUCCGUCCUCCUCCCGGGGGACGGGCCCGAAAGGCAGCGGCGGCACCGCGUCCGGUCCUCGAGCGUAUGGGGCUUCGUCACCCGCUCUUGUAGGCCCGGCCGGCGCUUGCCGACACAUCAAUCUUUUUUCCAGGUUGACCUCGGAUCAGGUAGGGAUACCCGCUGAACUUAAGCAUAUCAAUAAGCGGAGGA
rnacentral:misc_RNA from 1 species